UGAUAAGUCUUACUCUCAAAAUAUUUACUCGCUUAACAUACAGGAUGCUUCAAAGAACUAGCACUUCAAUAAACUUUAAAAGUUAGUUUUGAAUCCAAAUAAAUGAAACAUGCCUCAUUCAGCUAGUCGUGCCAAGGGAUUUCAAAUAAGUAAACGAUUUGCUGAAGAUAAACAGGAAAACAAUAAUCUCAUAAGAUAUAGACAACAUUCUCACAUAGUUCUAUGUUGAAAUUAUAUUCGAAGAAUAUUGACACUCGAGUCAAUGGGCCAGAGGGUAAUUCCAAAGCAGAAGACUUCAAAUAAUAACUGAAUCCAUAACAGAAAUCUGAAAUUGUCCAUUCUUGCCGAAAGACUUAGUUAAAGCGAUAAAUAAACAUAAAACAAAUUCUGUUUCUUUCAAAUCCAAACACUCUGCAUACUGAUUUAGACUCAAAUCGAUUAAAUUACUCAGUAACAAAUUGAACCAACAGAAUAAAGAAGAUGUGCCAAGACCCAAUGAAAACGGCCAAGUUCUUGAAGAAAAAUUGCAUCACAGACUGCUUUCGCGUAGUUGAACUCAUAUGCAUUCCCAAUAUAACAGUCUCAAUUAUCGUCACAUUUGAUCAAUGCCAAAACAAGCAAAGAUAGAGUAAAGAGAUAGACACGAUAUCGAACCUUUCUUUAGAUAACAGAAGAAAAAUCGAUUACACUCUUUGACUCCGAAAUUUCAGAUGUAAAAUAACAGCAGGUCAAGGCUCAAAGCACAACCAAACGAGUCGCAAAGACGAGCAGAAAUCAAAAGUUUAAAUAGCGACGAACUCAACGAUUCUCAAACGAGCUCCAUUUUGAAACCAACUCCAUCACAAGCACGAUUAUACCAGAAAUGAUAUGCAAAGAAAUCGAAACUUUUUUUUUUUUUUAUCUUUUCGUUUUUUCUGAUUCUAACAAAGAAAAAUAGAACUCAACGCAAAAGAAGCUCAAACCAUUUUUUGGUAUAUUUUUCUGUAUUUUCAGGGAUUUAAACUAAAAGAAAAUCCAAAACAACAAGGGUUCGAAUGCUAAAAAUCAGAAAACCAAUAUAAGAAUUAGAAAUAGAACCUCAGAACUUUUCUCUCC
rnacentral:lncRNA from 1 species